AUGUCAGAUGCAAAGCCCCACACCUCAUUAAGAUCAUAUUGGCAUACUCUCCUAAAAGAAGAGCACACCCCAUUGAAGACGGGAGUGAGGUACAACAAGGCCAUUUCCGUCCACCUUCUCACGGAGCCGUACGUGGACGUUACCGCUCAUACAGCUCCCAGCCAGCAAGCAGUUAGCUUUCCUCUAGAAGUCAUGGAAGUGUGGAUAAAUUGA
rnacentral:rRNA from 1 species